rnacentral:rRNA from 1 species
CCUACGGGGGGCAGCAGUGAGGAAUAUUGGUCAAUGGGCGCGAGCCUGAACCAGCCAAGUAGCGUGAAGGAUGACUGCCCUACGGGUUGUAAACUUCUUUUAUAAAGGAAUAAAGUGAGGCACGUGUGCCUUUUUGUAUGUACUUUAUGAAUAAGGAUCGGCUAACUCCGUGCCAGCAGCCGCGGUAAUACGGAGGAUCCGAGCGUUAUCCGGAUUUAUUGGGUUUAAAGGGAGCGUAGAUGGGUUGUUAAGUCAGUUGUGAAAGUUUGCGGCUCAACCGUAAAAUUGCAAUUGAUACUGGCAGUCUGGAGUACAGUUGAGGUAGGCGGAAUGCGUGGUGUAGCGGUGAAAUGCAUAGAUAUCACGCAGAACUCCGAUUGCGAAGGCAGCAUACCGGCGCCCGACUGACACUGAGGCUCGAAAGUGUGGGUAUCAAACAGGAUUAGAUACCCGAGUAGUC